rnacentral:rRNA from 1 species
GAUGAACGCUAGCGGCAGGCUUAAUACAUGCAAGUCGUGGGGCAGCAGGACUGUAGCCAUACAGUUGCUGGCGACCGGCAAACGGGUGCGGAACACGUACGCAACUUACCCUGAACUGGGGGAUAGCCCGGGGAAACCCGGAUUAAUACCCCGUAAUAUAAUGGAGUGGCAUCACUUUAUUAUUAAAGCUCCGGCGGUUCGGGAUGGGCGUGCGGCUGAUUAGGUAGUUGGUUGAGGUAACGGCUCACCAAGCCUACGAUCAGUAACUGGUGUGAGAGCAAGACCCAUUAAAAGGGCAAUGGGGAACGGGCCCCAAUCCUACCGGAGGGAGGAGUAAGGAAAAUUGGGCAAUGGAGGCAAAUCCGGCCCCGCCAUGCCGGGUGGAGGAUUAAGGCCCUCUGGGUUGUAAACUUCUUUUAUAGGGGACGAAACCUGUGUAUUCUUACGCAGUUGACGGUACCCUAGGAAUAAGCACCGGCUAACUCCGUG